rnacentral:rRNA from 1 species
GACGAACGCUGGCGGCGUGCUUAACACAUGCAAGUCGAACGAUGAAGCCCAGCUUGCUGGGUGGAUUAGUGGCGAACGGGUGAGUAACACGUGGGCAACCUGCCCCAAACUCUGGGAUAACUCCUCGAAAGAGGUGCUAAUACCGGAUACGAACUAGGUAGACAUCUGCACUAGUUGGAAAGUUUUUCGGUUUGGGAUGGGCCCGCGGCCUUUCAGCUUGUUGGUGAGGUAACGGCUCACCAAGGCUACGACGGGUAACCGGCCUGAGAGGGCGACAGGGCACACUGGGACUGAGGCACGGCCCAGACUCCUACGGGAGGCAGCAGUGGGGAAUAUUGCGCAAUGGGAGAAGGCCUGACGCAGCGACGCCGCGUGAGGGAUGAAGGUAUUCGGAUCGUAAACCUCUUUCAGUAGGGACGAAGCGAAAGUGACGGUACCUAAAGAAGAAGCACCGGCUAACUACGUGCCAGCCGCCGCCGUAA